CUCUGAUCUUCAGAGUUUAAAGAUUGGAGCAUGUCAUUGGUGUUCCGUAAUAGCUCCCCUGGACUCAGAAGCAGCUGUCCAGCCCACAGUUCUGCAACCCUUACCACUCCAGCAGGGCCUCUGCACCCAGCACUUCCCAGGCAGCACGUAGCAAGGGCUUACGGCACAGCAGGGACUCAACAGAUGUAAGAGCGAGUGAAGAAAUGAAGGAACGAAUGCAUGAAUAAAGAUCCAGGAUCACCAGUGGUGGAAGUUUCAGG
rnacentral:lncRNA from 1 species